AUUGAACGCUGGCGGCAGGCCUAACACAUGCAAGUCGAGCGAGCGGCGGACGUGUGAGUAAUGUAUGGGGACUGCCCGAUAGAGGGGGAUAACUACUGGAAACGGUGGCUAAUACCACAUACUAUCGGAUAACCCAUAUGGGAUUAGCUAGUAGUGGGGGUAAAGGCUCCCCUAGGCGACGAUCUCUAGCUGGUCUGAGAGGAUGAUCAGCAGCACUGGGACUGAGACAACGCGUAGACUCCUACGGAGGCAGCAGUGGGGAAUAUUGCACAAUGGGUGCAAGCAUGAUGCAGCCAUGCCGCGUGUAGGAAGAAGGACUUAGGGUUGUAAAGUACUUUCAGCGGGGAGGCGUUAUCCGCAGAAGAAGCACCGGCUAACUACGUGCCAGCAGCCGCGGUAAUAC
rnacentral:rRNA from 1 species